GACGAACGCUGGCGGCGUGCUUAACACAUGCCAGUCGAACGGAAAGGCCCUGCUUUUGUGGGGUGCUCGAGUGGCGAACGGGUGAGUAACACGUGAGUAACCUGCCCUUGACUUUGGGAUAACUUCAGGAAACUGGGGCUAAUACCGGAUAGGAGCUCCUGCUGCAUGGUGGGGGUUGGAAAGUUUCGGCGGUUGGGGAUGGACUCGCGGCUUAUCAGCUUGUUGGUGGGGUAGUGGCUUACCAAGGCUUUGACGGGUAGCCGACCUGAGAGGGUGACCGGCUACAUUGGGACUGAGAUACGGCCCAGACUCCUACGGGAGGCAGCAGUGGGGAAUAUUGCACAAUGGGCGGAAGCCUGAUGCAGCAACGCCGCGUGCGGGAUGACGGCCUUCGGGUUGUAAACCGCUUUCGCCUGUGACGAAGCGUGAGUGACGGUAAUGGGUAAAGAAGCACCGGCUAACUACGUG
rnacentral:rRNA from 1 species